CUACCAGACUCCUACGGGAGGCAGCAGUGAGGAAUAUUGGUCAAUGGGCGGGAGCCUGAACCAGCCAAGUCGCGUGAAGGAAGAAGGUACUUAGUAUUGUAAACUUCUUUUGUCGGGGAACAAAGGCGGAGACGCGUCUCCGGAUGAGUGUACCCGAAGAAAAAGCAUCGGCUAACUCCGUGCCAGCAGCCGCGGUAAUACGUAGGUGGCAAGCGUUAUCCGGAUUUACUGGGUGUAAAGGGCGUGUAGGCGGGAAAGCAAGUCAGAUGUGAAAACCAUGGGCUCAACCUGUGGCCUGCAUUUGAAACUGUUUUUCUUGAGUACUGGAGAGGCAGACGGAAUUCCUAGUGUAGCGGUGAAAUGCGUAGAUAUUAGGAGGAACACCAGUGGCGAAGGCGGUCUGCUGGACAGCAACUGACGCUGAGGCGCGAAAGCGUGGGGAGCAAACAGGAUUAGAUACCCCGGUAC
rnacentral:rRNA from 1 species